rnacentral:rRNA from 1 species
AGGACGAACGCUGGCGGCGUGCUUAACACAUGCAAGUCGAGCGGAAAGGCCCUUCGGGGUACUCGAGCGGCGAACGGGUGAGUAACACGUGAGCAACCUGCCCUUAGCUCCGGGAUAGCUCCGGGAAACCGGAAUUAAUACCGGAUACGACCACGGCCGACAUCUGCUGUGGUGGAAAGGAUUCCGGCUAAGGAUGGGCUCGCGGCCUAUCAGCUAGUUGGUGGAGUAACGGCCCACCAAGGCGACGACGGGUAGCCGGCCUGAGAGGGCGACCGGCCACACUGGGACUGAGACACGGCCCAGACUCCUACGGGAGGCAGCAGUGGGGAAUAUUGCGCAAUGGGCGAAAGCCUGACGCAGCGACGCCGCGUGGGGGAUGAAGGCCUUCGGGUUGUAAACCCCGUUUCAGCAGGGACGAAGCGAAAGUGACGGUACCUGCAGAAGAAGCGCCGGCUAACUACGUGCCAGCAGCCGC